rnacentral:rRNA from 1 species
GACGAACGCUGGCGGCGUGGAUUAGGCAUGCAAGUCGAACGGUAUCAUCCUUUCGGGGGUGAGAGAGUGGCGAACUGGUGAGUAACACGUAGGUUAUCUACCCUCAAGACGGGGACAACCCAGGGAAACUUGGGCUAAUACCGGAUGUGAGCAACUUUUAGUUGUUUGAAAGGUGGCGUAAGCUGUCGCUUGGGGAUGAGCCUGCGUCCUAUUAGUUAGUUGGUGAGGUAACGGCUCACCUAGGCAAUGAUAGGUAGGCGGCCUUAACGGGUGGUCGCCCACACUGGGAUUGAGAUACGGCCCAGACCCCUACGGAGGCAGCAGUCGAGAAUAGUCUACAAUGGUCGGAAGACUGAUAGUGCGACGCCGCGUGAACGAUGAAUCCCUUCGGGGUGUAAAGUUCUUUUAUAUGUGAGCAGUGCUUCUUAUAUUAACAGUAUGGGGAGAGAGAUAUAGCAUAUGAAUAAGCAACGGCUAACUCCGUGCCAGCAGCCGACGGU